AGAGAAUAGAUACCCAGGUAGUCCACGCUGUAAACGAUGAUCACUAGAUGUAGGUUGGAUUCGUCCGAUCUGUGUCGUAGCUAACGCGAUAAGUGAUCCACCUGGGGAAUACGGUCGCAAGAUUAAAACUCAAAGAAAUUGACGGGGUCCGGCACAAGCGGUGGAAACAUGUGGUUUAAUUCGACACUACGCGAGAAACCUUACCCACGGUUUGUACAUGUAACGUUUAAGAGGGCGAAAUCCCUUGAUCCGUAGCAAUACGGAGUGUUACACAGGUGCUGCAUGGCUGUCGUCAGCUCGUGUCGUGAGAUGUUGGGUUAAAGUUCCUUUAACGUAGCGCAACCCUUGCCAUUAGUUGCUACAUUUAGUUGGGCACCCUAAUGGGACUGCCUGGGAAACCAGGAGGAAGGUGGGGAUGAUGUCAAGUCCUCAUGGCCCUUAUACCUGGGGCUACACACGUGUUACAAUGGCGAAGUACAAAGCGAAGCAAAGCCGCGAGGUGGAGCAAAUCGUUGAAAAUUCGUCUAAGUUCAGAUUGGAGUCUGC
rnacentral:rRNA from 1 species